rnacentral:rRNA from 1 species
UAGGGAAUCUUCGGCAAUGGGGGCAACCCUGACCGAGCAACGCCGCGUGAGUGAAGAAGGUUUUCGGAUCGUAAAGCUCGGUUGUAAGAGAAGAACGUGUGUGAGAGUGGAAAGUUCACACAGUGACGGUAACUUACCAGAAAGGGACGGCUAACUACGUGCCAGCAGCCGCGGUAAUACGUAGGUCCCGAGCGUUGUCCGGAUUUAUUGGGCGUAAAGGGAGCGCAGGCGGUUUAAUAAGUCUGAAGUUAAAGGCAGUGGCUUAACCAUUGUUCGCUUUGGAAACUGUUAAACUUGAGUGCAGAAGGGGAGAGUGGAAUUCCAUGUGUAGCGGUUAAAUGCGUAGAUAUAUGGAGGAACACCGGUGGCGAAAGCGGCUCUCUGGUCUGUAACUGACGCUGAGGCUCGAAAGCGUGGGGAGCAAACAGG